AUUGAACGCUGGCGGCAGGCCUAACACAUGCAAGUCGAGCGAGAGGCGGACGGGUGAGUAAUGUCUGGGAAACUGACUGCAGGAGGGGGAUAACUACUGGAAACGGUAGCUAAUACCGCAUACCAUCAGAUGUGCCCAGAUGGGAUUAGCGAGUAGGUGGGUUAACGGCUCACCUAGGCGACGAUCCCUAGCUGGUCUGAGCGUAUGAUCAGCACCCCUGGAGCGGAGACACGGUCCAGACUCCUACGGGAGGCAGCAGUGGGGAAUAUUGCACAAUUGGCGCAAGCCUGAUGCAGCCAAGCCGCGUGUGUGAAGAAGGCCUUCGGGUUGUAAAGCACUUUCAGCGGGGAGGCGUUACCCGCAGAAGAAGCACCGGCUAACUCCGUGCCAGCAGCCGCGGUAAUUC
rnacentral:rRNA from 1 species